rnacentral:rRNA from 1 species
GGGGUGACUACGGGGGAGGAGCGGCGGUAAUACGGAGGAUGAAAGCGUUAGCCGGAAUGAUUGGGCGUAAAGCGAACGUAGGCGGGUUCUUAAGGCUGGGGUGAAAGACCGAGGCUCAACCUCGGGGGUGCCCUGGAAACUAAGAGACGGGAGGACGGCAGAGGAAAGUGGAAUUCCCAGUGUAGCGGUGAAAUGCGUAGAGAUUGGGAGGAACACCAGUGGCGAAAGCGACUUUCUGGGCCGCACCUGACGCUGAGGUUCGAAAGCCAGGGGAGCAAACGGGAUUAAUACCCUGUAGUC